ACGAGAAUGUGUAGCAAUACACAUGUACAGUGGCGAACGGGUGAGGAAUACAUGGGUAACCUACCCUCGAGUGGGGAAUAACUAGCCGAAAGGUUAGCUAAUACCGCGUACGCUUCCGGAACUGCGGUUCCGGAAGGAAAGCGAUACCGCGGGUAUCGCGCUCUUGGAUGGGCUCAUGCCCUAUCAGCUUGUUGGUGAGGUAACGGCUCACCAAGGCAUCGACGGGUAGCUGAUCUGAGAGGAUGAUCAGCCACACUGGCACUGCGACACGGGCCAGACUCCUACGGGAGGCAGCAGUAAGGAAUAUUGCGCAAUGGGCGAAAGCCUGACGCAGCGACGCCGCGUGGGGGAUGAAGGUCUUCGGAUUGUAAACCCCUUUCGGGAGGGAAGAUGGAAUGGGGUAACCCAUUCGGACGGUACCUCCAGAAGCAGCCACGGCUAACUUCGUGCCAGCAGCCGCGGUAAUACGAAGGUGGCAAGCGUUGUUCGGAUUUACUGGGCGUACAGGGAGCGUAGGCGGUUGGGUAAGCCCUCCGUGAAAUCUCCAGGCUUAACCUGGAAAGUGCAGAGGGGACUGCUCAGCUAGAGGAUGGGAGAGGAGCGCGGAAUUCCCGGUGUAGCGGUGAAAUGCGUAGAGAUCGGGAGGAAGGCCGGUGGCGAAGGCGGCGCUCUGGAACAUUUCUGACGCUGAGGCUCGAAAGCGUGGGGAGCAAACAGGAUUAGAUACCCUGGUAGUCCACGCCUUAAACGAUGAAUACUAAGUGUCGGCGGGUUACCGCCGGUGCCGCAGCUAACGCAGUA
rnacentral:rRNA from 1 species